rnacentral:rRNA from 1 species
UGGGGAAUUUUGGACAAUGGGGGAAACCCUGAUCCAGCCAUCCCGCGUGUGCGAUGAAGGCCUUCGGGUUGUAAAGCACUUUUGGCAGGAAAGAAACGUCCCGGGAUAAUACCCCGGGAAACUGACGGUACCUGCAGAAUAAGCACCGGCUAACUACGUGCCAGCAGCCGCGGUAAUACGUAGGGUGCAAGCGUUAAUCGGAAUUACUGGGCGUAAAGCGUGCGCAGGCGGUUCGGAAAGAAAGAUGUGAAAUCCCAGAGCUUAACUUUGGAACUGCAUUUUUAACUACCGAGCUAGAGUGUGUCAGAGGGAGGUGGAAUUCCGCGUGUAGCAGUGAAAUGCGUAGAUAUGCGGAGGAACACCGAUGGCGAAGGCAGCCUCCUGGGAUAACACUGACGCUCAUGCACGAAAGCGUGGGGAGCAAACAGGAUUAGAUACCCUGGUAGUCCACGCCCUAAACGAUGUCAACUAGCUGUUGGGGCCUUCGGGCCUUGGUAGCGCAGCU